GACGAACGCUGGCGGCGUGCCUAACACAUGCAAGUUGAGCGACGAACCAGGGCUUGCCCUGGGGCAAAGCAGCGAACGGGUGAGUAACACGUGGGUAACCUACCCCGAUAACCGGGACAACCCGAGGAAACUCGGGCUAAUACCGGAUGUGCUCACUGGACUUCGGUUCAGUGCGUAAAGGAAGCUUCGGCCUCCGUAUCGGGAGGGGCCCGCGGCCCAUUAGUUUGUUGGUGAGGUAACGGCUCACCAAGACCGCGAUGGGUAGCUGGUCUGAGAGGACGAUCAGCCAGACUGGGACUGAGACACGGCCCAGAGUCCUACGGGAGGCAGCAGUGGGGGAUCUUGCGCAAUGCGCGAGAGCGUGACGCAGCAACGCCGCGUGGGGGAAGAAGGCCUUCGGGUUGUAAACCCCUUUCAGGAGGGACGAAGGUUCGGCGGUGAAUAGCCGGCCGGACUGACGGUACCUCCACAAGAAGCCCGGGCUAACUACGUG
rnacentral:rRNA from 1 species